GUGGGGAAUAUUGGACAAUGGGCGAAAGCCUGAUCCAGCCAUGCCGCGUGUGUGAAGAAGGUCUUCGGAUUGUAAAGCACUUUAAGUUGGGAGGAAGGGCAGUAAGUUAAUACCUUGCUGUUUUGACGUUACCGACAGAAUAAGCACCGGCUAACUUCGUGCCAGCAGCCGCGGUAAUACGAAGGGGGCAAGCGUUAAUCGGAAUUACUGUGCGUAAAGCGCGCGUAGGUGGUUUUGUAAGUUGGAGGUGAAAUCCCCGGGCUCAACCUGGGAACUGCCUCCAAAACUGCAUGACUAGAGUACGGUAGAGGGUAGUGGAAUUUCCUGUGUAGCGGUUAAAUGCGUAGAUAUAGGAAGGAACACCAGUGGCGAAGGCGACUACCUGGACCGAUACUGACACUGAGGUGCGAAAGCGUGGGGAGCAAACAGGAUUAGAUACCCCUGUAGUCC
rnacentral:rRNA from 1 species